CUGAAUCCCUGUAAAGGUCUAUUCACAUCACACACCUGUCUGGAGGGAGAACGCACAUGAGAUCUCCAUACAGGAAAAGAGUCCCAUGAAAGUAACUUCUGAAUAACCCUAAACAACCAUCAUGGAGACCAAAGAGCUACCAAAAACAUCUGGGUGAGUUGCAAAUGAGCUUUCUUUACAGAAAUCCAUGGUUCCAGGUAAUCUGAUUAUAUACAGGUGUGCAUUCAAAACUGAAUGAUCUGACCCAUGAAGCAAUUUCUCAUUAAGAUGUUGUGCUGAGCUAACUGGCCAGUGAGGCUAUGUUGAAAAUGUCCAUGGCUUUAUGAGACAGUGGUGAGCCAUAUGAAAUCCUAUUUGGAGUUUGAAAAAAGGGAUGCUGGAAACUCACCAAAUGUGGAAAAAGGUUCUCGACAGACAGCACAUCAUGGUGGAUAACUUUAGUUGAUCAGUAUGGGUAUUGAACCCAUUCAAUUCAAUUCAAUUUUAUUUGUAUAGCGCUUUUUACAAUAGACAUUGUCUCAAAGCAGAUUUACAGAAAUAUCAACAUGGUAUACAGAUAUUAAAGGUGCGAAUUUAUCCCAACUGAG
ensembl:lncRNA